CAUGUUCUUUUGUGUAUAAUUUAAGAUUUGACCUGCCCGCUGAAUAUUUGAAUGGCCGCGGUAUUUUGACCGUGCAAAGGUAGCAUAAUCAUUAGUUUUUUAAUUGGAAGCUGGUAUGAAUGGUUGGACGAGAAAAUUACUGUCUCUGGUUAAUGAAAGUAGAAUUUAAUUUUUAAGUUAAAAAGCUUAAAUGAUUUUAAAAGACGAGAAGACCCUAUAGAGUUUUAUAUUUAUAAAAGUUUAUUAAAUUAGGUUUAAAAUUUAUAUAUUUGAGUAAAUAUUUUGUUGGGGUGAUGAGAAGAUAAAAUUAACUCUUUUUUUAUUAAAACAUUAAUUUAUGAAUAUUUGAUCCAAUUAUUUUGAUUAGAAGAUUAAAUUACCUUAGGGAUAACAGCGUAAUCUUUUUAGAGAGUUCUUAUCGAAAUAAAGGAUUGCGACCUCGAUGUUGGAUUAAAAUUAAUUUUUGGUGCAGAAGCUGAAACAUUAAGUCUGUUCGACUUUUAAAAUUUUACAUGAUCUGAGU
rnacentral:rRNA from 1 species